AUCUGCAGUUGUUUUUAAAUUAAAUAUACAUGGGAUUUUGUGAUUAGUACCCUAAAUACAGAAGGUGGAAGAUGCAUGAUAAGAGGAGGAGAAGGAUAUUCAUCAUCAGACAUCAGGUGACAAGGACCACAGUAUUGGGCAACAGGAUCUUUGAAGGAAGCCAGCUGAGUUUCUUUGCAUGGAUUUUGUCUGUGACCGUACAGUCUUUCAGAGGGCAAGUAAGCACUUAUUCUGGCACUUACUCACAGGUCCUGCAGUGUGUAACAGCCCUUAAAUGUUCCAGGGGGUUCACCAAAUCUGAGGGUAAGGUUUUCUGCGAGGUCUAGUGCAGCCCAUGGAAAACGUCUGAAUGCAUCGCAGGCAGGCCUUGCAGGGGGAUGAAGCUACAUCUGGAGUUCUUAAGGACACUGUAGGAAUGUUUAUUAUUCUUUGUUUAUUAUUUUGAAUGUGUGCUCUCCCUCUUUCUGUCUUCCUUUGUUAUUUUUGCAAUAAAAUUCCUGUAGGCAUAUAAAGUAAGUCAUCUGGAAUUGUGCAAUUCCUUCUGCCAGGAAACUGGAAAAGCCCCUCUCCUGUGCAGAAGAAAAAAUAAGGACCCAUCUUAACCAUUGAGAAAUUACAGAAUUACAGCAUUUGUCUUUGCAAUGAGUAUGGAACAUUGCUUCAUCUGUCCCAAGGCGGUAGCUGGAAAGUUAUGAGCAAGAGAAUUUCUCAUGGGUUGGAGAAGAGGGCAAAGCAUGCCAUAUACCAGCAAACAAGCUGCAGUGUGAGUGAGGAGAUGUGUUUCAUGUGGGCCACAAACACAGCAGGUCUGUGAGCCUCUGCUAUAGAGAACACCGCUCAUCAUGUAUGCUAUGGUUCCCAGAAUGGCAGCAUGGGAUUGAUCAGCAAUAUUCCUAGGAAGAAAUGGGUAAAAAUGAAGAACUUUGCCACAGAAACAUUGGAGAUGUUGGCCUCCUUAUGCAAGAUCACCUAUUUGCAUCAAAAAAAGCAUAGGGAGGAAGAAGUGGAAUGGAUCCCACAGCUGCAUUUUAACACAGAAAACUGCUGUCUAUCUGUGUGUUCUCCCAUCCACAUUGUACUGUCUUCCUUUGCAUAUUACUAGGCUAUUUUCAGCACAUAAAUAGAAUGCUCCUGCUGUGCUUUCCAUGCUAAAAGAAGGUCAGUGACAUCACGGUGAAUUGCAAUAGCAAAAGGAAAACAAAAGAGCUCCAGCUUAGACUAUUGUAGCGUUGAGAUGAGUCAAGACCGGACAAACUACUGAAUGGUGGCUGCUGUCAGCAGCUCUCUUUUGCCAAAAGAGCAUUACCUUCCUAGAUCCCAGGUAGGAAGUUGACGUCCUUAAAAAAUCCCGCAAGCAUCGACAGAUGAAAUUCAGACACUGUCCCCAGGACUGCUUGGAGGCAUAGGAAUACUGGCACACGCCGCCUAAGAUCAACACAAAAUGUCAACAUCGACGCAUUGCCUAGAGACUUUGCCAUUCUCGCACUGCAAUUUGAGUCACGUAGUUGACAAAAUAUUUCUGUACUUCAGGAAAGGAAAAAGGUAAAAUGGCUAUGGUAGCUCUGUUGGCUUCAUUGCUAUUGUUGCUAUUUGUUUAUUGUUAUUUGUCAAGAUUUAUGGCUGUUUAGAACAAAACAAGCAUUGGUUUGGGAAGAUUGCUUAAUGAAAGGAACAAGUUUCAACUUUAUUCCCUGCUUUCAUGCAAUCAGAAGUUAUGUUUAUUUAGAAAGCUAACAUUUAUACAGAUUAUGUACUCUCAGUGGUUUUAUGCCAAAAAAUACAUGACUUAAAUGGGUCUUUCCAUCACUCACUCAGUUUUUGACCUAUGAUUGUUUUUACAGGAACUGGAUCUUUCAAGCAAUAGCCUCUGGUAGAGUAAGGGGAAAGCAUGGCAACUUGUGCAAUAAUUUGCAAACAGUGGCUUGAGCAAAAGGAUGUGCAAAAUGCUUUUGAAUCACUAGAUUCUCCAGUUAUUAUUUGA